AUGUGUUGGAAGAACAUUACUGAAGUCACCCAAAGUAUCAGCUAUGGUUUCCUGAAGAUCUUCAGCUGGCCAACACAUCGUAGCCAAGGGAGCAGGAUUUUGGAGGAGGACCAAAAGUGUUAUAGAGGCUACUGUUUACACAAUUUCUCCAGCCCUUCCUGCUCUCAAGGAAUCACCAAUUCUCUCAGACCCAGUAGCUGUUGUACAGUCAGCCAUGACAAUUCUACCGGGGAAUCCUGCUGCUGGAGGAAUGUUUGGACCUCUCCCAGUGGAGGCUGACAGGUAUUAUGUCUUCAGAGACUUAGGGAACAUCUUGAAGGUUCAUCUGAGAAGCUUCCCCUUGACACUGGGGAAAAAGAAUUUGAAAAUGUGAUGGGAGAACAGAGAGGAUAAUAAAAAGAGUCUGAGUACAGGAAAAAAAAUAUCAAGGUCAGGUAAAAAUGAAGGGAUGCUGCAGCAGCCAAAAGGUUGGAUAGAUGAAGAAGUCCAGUUGCACAGCCUUCGGAGCUAGUGUACAGUAGCCACACAGAGGCAUGGACAAAUUUUGUCAUUUUAUAUUAUAUGAGAAUUGAUUCAGGGUUUUAGAUAUCAACAGUACCAGGGCAUUGUGUUAUUGUAUGUGUGGUUGAUACAACCUGGAAGACUUUGCAAUAAGGCAGUCACCUCAUCAGCAGUUAUUCUGCACUGGAACGUUGGCUUCACAAUCUGAACUGAUACCUGGUAAGCAAGGAUAAGGGGUAUUGUCAUGGGUUAGCUAGCAUAGGCCCUGAAGUGAUGAUCUUGCAAAGGGGUGCUUACAGCUUCCUCUGUGACCUGACAGGACCUAUCAGCUGGCCAGUUUGAAUAUGGACAAUUCUUUGAGCCACUUAAAGUUGUGACCACCUCUGUGAUCCACACUUAAGAAUAGGAAACUCCGAGGCAGAGCCUCUCUGUCUCGUUCCCGGUGCUGGGACAGGUGGCUGCGGGCCCCGUGUGGGGGCCAGCGGGCAUGGCCCAGGCCCUGCUCGGGCCGGGCCACGGCCAUCCUGGAGCCAAUGGGCCCUGUUCCACCCGCGGAACCCCCCCCCACAGCCCUGCUGGGAGCAGCCGGAGCGGCUCGGCUCCUCCCCCCCUCCACUGCAAUAAGCCACAUUCCAGCUGCAAGGCUGAGGUGAGAUUAACCCUUUUAGUGCUGUGAAGAGCUGAAAACCUGAGGGAAGAGAAAGAGGAGAUGCUUAAAGCUGAAAUUCUGUUGUGAAGCUAUGAUAUAUUAGAGUAUCCCGUUGUAAUUUCAUGAAGAUAUGGGGGGUGGAGUGUUCAACUCAUGCUUGUGAGCAAAAGCACCUGCGCUGAGAUAGGCAGAUGCUGACGCAGCUGUAAUUUCAUGAGAAGUUAAACAGGGAGAGAUGGAAACGGUGAGGACUUUUGCUCCAAAUGUGAAAGGAGAAAACCUCAGUUCCUAGAGAUGCUCCCAAAGAUUUCUUAGAGAUGAAAUGCUCCCAGAGAUGGGUGAAGAGAACUUUUGUUUCUGAACGGCUCAACCUUAAAAUUGUACCCCAAAAAACUUCAAGAGUGGACCCUCGAAAACAGUUGUGGGAAAGCUGCAAGUUGGGGGAAGGGACUCACAUGUGAGCAGAGAGACUCCUCUUCCUAAAUGGACUGAACAAUAUUUGGAAGUGAGCGGCUGUCUCGUUGUGAUACUGUGUUCAUAGCAUGGGCAAGAGAGACUCCUCUUCCUAAAUGGACUGAACAAGAUUAUGGAAGUGGUAAACAGACUGAACAUCUCAACGGUUGCCUUUUUACAUUGUCACUUGGAGAAGGGAGGAAGGUGGGGGAGUAGAAGAGUUUUGAAGGUGUGGUAUGAUUUUUUUUUU
ensembl:lncRNA